rnacentral:tRNA from 2 species
GCGGGGGUUGCCGAGCAUGGCUAAAGGCGAUAGACUCAAGAUCUAUUCCCGCAGGGGUCCAGGGGUUCAAAUCCCUUCCCCCGCA